UACGGAGGGUGCGAGCGUUGUCCGGAAUCACUGGGCGUAAAGAGCGUGUAGGCGGCCAGGUAGGUCUGGUGUGAAAACUCGAGGCUUAACCUCGAGAUGUCAUCGGAAACCAUCUGGCUAGAGUCCGGAAGAGGAGAGUGGAAUUCCUGGUGUAGCGGUGAAAUGCGCAGAUAUCAGGAGAACACCGUGGCGAAAGGCGG
rnacentral:rRNA from 1 species